rnacentral:lncRNA from 1 species
CGAGAGUUGUGCUCAAGGACAUUGUUGUGCUGUCUUCACGCUGAUUUUUUUUAGAUAACAUGAAUCAUGUAAGACAAUAUUAUAGAAGCAAAUAUCAAGCUUAUAAUACAGAUGAUGAUGAGGAUGAUGAUCAAGAAUUUUUCAAAUUAGGAUGGUAUACAUCUCCUUCAAUGGACAUGCUCAUUCGUGUAAAACGUUGCAUAAUCAGCAAAGAGAAAUUUUAUAGAAAGGCUAUAAAUCCAUCAGUAAGUUUCUUUCUAUAAGAGAUAAAAAUAGAUAUUUAUUUUUUUCAUGAAGCAUAAACAGC